UACGAAGGGGGCGAGCGUUGUUCGGAUUUACUGGGCGUAAAGGGCGCGCAGGCGGCUCAUUUUGUCAGGCGUGAAAGCCCCGAGCUUAACCUGGGAACUGCGUUUGAUACGGAUGGGCUAGAGUUCGGGAGAGGAGAGUGGAAUUCCCGGUGUAGAGGUGAAAUUCGUAGAUAUCGGGAGGAACACCGGUGGCGAAGGCGGCGACCUGGGUAGAUACUGACGCUGAGGUGCGAAAGCGUGGGGAGCAAACAGG
rnacentral:rRNA from 1 species